AAUAUACUCCUCCGUCCAAAAUUACUUGUCAUCAAAAUGAAUAAAAAUGGAUGUAUCUAAAACUAAAAUACAUCUAGAUACAUCCAUUUGAAUGACAAGUAUUUCCAGACGGAGGGAGUAUAUG
rnacentral:pre_miRNA from 1 species